AAGAAAUUCAUAUUUUUAAUUCAACAUUUCGACUACUGUUGAGUCAUCAUCAGGAAUGACUCAACAGUAGUCGAAACGUUGAAUUAAAAAUAUGAAUUUCUU